UACGUAGGGGGCAAGCGUUGUCCGGAAUCAUUGGGCGUAAAGCGCGUGUAGGCGGCCCGGUAAGUCCGCUGUGAAAGUCCAGGGCUCAACCCUGGAAUGCCGGUGGAUACUGUCGGGCUCGAGUCCGGAAGAGGCGAGUGGAAUCCUGGUGUAGCGGUGAAAUGCGCAGAUAUCAGGAGGAACACCAUGGCGAAGGCAGCUCGCUGGGACGGUAGCUGACGCUGGAGACGCGAAAGCGUGGGGAGCAAACAGGAUUAAGAUA
rnacentral:rRNA from 1 species